UCACUAACCCUCUCAGACUCACUCUGUAUCAUCUCUCACUCACGAAACCCUACACUAUUUCUCUCCCGAUCUGAGACUAACCCUACCUCAUCGGCCGCCAUCUCUAUCGCGCGCUCUCUCCGUCUCUCUGUCUCUCCUUCAACUCGUCUCUAUCGCACUCGCUCUCUCUCUCUCUCUCUCUCUCUCUUAGUCACAUCUUUAAGUCUCUUAGAGACGCGAGACUCAUUCUCUUUCUCCAAACCUAACCAAACAUCAAUCCAAUAUCAUUGGUUUUUGGAGCGAAUCCUUGUAAAUUUUGGAGGGCUCUGGUUCAUUCUAAGUUGUUGUGCUUAGUCUCUGUGGGUUUGGAUUAAUAGGCAAAAUUGAAGAUUGUUGCGUUGCAGCUUUCUGGAUGCAGGUUUGACACUUUGUCGAAUUGGAACAAUGAUGAUGGAGAAGCCAUGGGAGCUGCAAAACAUGUUUUGUUUGCAGCUCCCUUAACUGAUACAAGUGAAUAUAUUUGGUGCUUUACCUUUUUUUUUUUUUUUU